AUGGAGAAGGUUGCCAUACCGUGGAGAUUUCGUCUCCUAUCUUCUUCCCCAUGGCGGCUGGGUGUGCUUCAUCCCUCAGCAUGGAGCCUAGGAGUCAUGUUCAGGAGUUGGAGCGGCGCUAGACCUCCCCAUGUCUUGUCCUUGGUGGUUCUUCAUCAUGUUGCAUCUCCGGUGUGCUGGUCCUACUGGACCGAGGUUGACGACUUCCUGGCCGCGAAGAACCUGUCUGCACUCUACAAGAUCAUGCCGGCAAAAAGUAGAGCAGCGCCUGAUCUCCCCAUGCCUCGUCCUCGGUGCUUCUUUGUCAUGUUGCACCUCCGGUGUGAUGGUCCUACUGGGCAGAGGUUAACGACUUCCCUGUCGCGAAGAAUCCGUCCGCACUCUACAAGGUCACGUCGGCUCCAUGUUGGAGCGGGAGCGCGCCUUGAGCCCGCAUCUGAGUUUGUUGUAUGUGAGUUUGUGGUGGGUCGCAGCCCCAAGGACCUGAUUGUGAUUUGUGUUUUCUCUAGGGUGCUUAUACCACUGGUGUUCUCUAAUAUAUGA
rnacentral:rRNA from 1 species